GGGGCUGCUGGGGCCCGGGGCGGGGUGGGAGCGGACCCGUCUGGCCCAGGCACAGAUAUCCUGGUUCUUAGGCGAAGGGGCGGGGGCGGAGCCGGAGCCAGGUUGGCGCUGCGGGCUCCCCAGCCGUCAGGCCGGGCGCUGGGGUCCGGCAAAGCCCCGCUCGCUGGUGCACAGCCGAGUCCUGGCCUCGGGCUGCAGCCCCGGGGGGAGGUUGCACCUGGCUGGGCUGAAGUGUGAAUCCUGAACGUGGCUUUUUGUUGCUCCCGAUCGACUCCUCUCAGGCUGCUCGGCUGGCACCAUUGACACACGGCGCAACACCCGGCCCUGCCAGUGCUGAGCCCGGCGCGUGUCGCCGCUUCCUGGGCCGAGGCUGGUCUUUGGUCUCUCCCAGUCAACGCUGCUGGGGCGCGGGAUUCAGGAGGCAGCCAAGCACGGGCAUGUGGAGGAGACGUGAUAGGAGCACAGAUCAACAAUGAAACAACGUUAACCGGGACAACAUUAAGUGAGGAGUUACUGUACCCAAUAUUCCUGGGCUCCUUCUGACCAGGGGGUUUCUUGGAGCUCGCCCUUCCUGAACCUGUUCAUCUCCCAUGCAGAAGUGGGGAUUAUUGCUUGGACAGACCUGUCCCCCGGCCCCAACUCAGGCCAUGUCUGACGGGGACAAGAAAAAACAACCCAAAUAUCUCCCCUGCUCCUCCCCACUCCACCUGGGGCCACAUGGCACAGCCGCUGUUCCUCAGUCACAGUGAAAGAUGACCCAGAGGUAAAGAGGAGGAUUAGGUCCCUCAACUGCCCUUUCCACACUCGGGCUGGUGGUGGCUGCAGUCAUAGAGCCUCAGGCUGCAACAGUGGUGCCCAUCCUCUAACUUCUGCCCAACAUGCUCAGUUCCACUGGUCUCAAGGGCUGUGGUUUAAGUGACAAAAAAUGGCCGCUGACUGCAGACAGCAGACUCCUAGAAGGUGUAGCACAUAGUAAGCAAUAUCAUAAUUAUGUAGAAACAUACACUGUAGAAUAUAUGAAUUCUGAUGUAUAUGCUUACACAUUAGUACUGCUUUGUAUGGUGCUCAAAAACCUGGUCACAACUAUGAUCUAUAUGUUCUAGCAGGUUUUAAGUUGUUUCAGUCUGUGACAGUCAGUUUUAAUUCUUUGUGCUUCUGUUUGUAAUACUUGUGACGCUGUAUGGUAUGGAAUAUGUGGGACACUUUAUGAUAUUGUUGAUAACAAUAUUAUAAAAGCGUGAUGAAUCGUUCCAGGUAUGCCGAGUGAGGUAUCUGUGAAAAUGUUAUAAUUUGCCGAGCAUGAUAAUCUUGUUUAUAUGUUUGUAUCACCUUGUAUUAUAAGCUAUAGAUAUGUAUGGUAUAUCUAUGUUUCCAAACUUGUGCUAUGUUUCUCGGUGACAUCCUAGACCGAUUGGCAUCAGCAGUAAGCCUGCUUGAUGGCCCAUCAAGGGUCGUCAGCGGUACAAUGAACCCAUUGAAAGGAGCCAGGGAAUACACCUUAUGAGUCAGCAUGACUUGUAGGGGCAUGGCUAUGGACCGAAAACUCAAAGCCUUUUCCAUGCCCAUGUGUUGUAAAGUUUGUGUUUGGGACACAGGAAGUACAAGCCACAUGGCAAGAGAAAUGUAAAGGGCAGCUGCAUCAUCUCCAUUUUGUAUUUGAUCCUGUAUCUUACUUCUGGAGUAACUUUUCUACAAACUGAAGCUCUGAACAAAGGACUGAAUGACCCAUCCAAGCAGUGGACGUGUUCCAGAGGGACUUUCAAGUCAGCAGACUCACCAGUAUUGCUAAGAACCUGAUAGGUGGACUUUGAAGUCUAUGUUGUAUCUGAGUGCUUUACUAUUUAACAAUUAUCUUCUUGUUCUUUCUUUUUUUCUUUAUAAUAAACCUUUAGUUUUACAUACUAAA